rnacentral:rRNA from 1 species
AAAUUGAAGAGUUUGAUCAUGGCUCAGAUUGAACGCUGGCGGCAGGCCUAACACAUGCAAGUCGAACGGUAGCACAGAGAGCUUGCUCUCGGGUGACGAGUGGCGGACGGGUGAGUAAUGUCUGGGAAACUGCCUGAUGGAGGGGGAUAACUACUGGAAACGGUGGCUAAUACCGCAUAACGUCGCAAGACCAAAGAGGGGGACCUUCGGGCCUCUUGCCAUCAGAUGUGCCCAGAUGGGAUUAGCUUGUUGGUGAGGUAACGGCUCACCAAGGCGACGAUCCCUAGCUGGUCUGAGAGGAUGACCAGCCACACUGGAACUGAGACACGGUCCAGACUCCUACGGGAGGCAGCAGUGGGGAAUAUUGCACAAUGGGCGCAAGCCUGAUGCAGCCAUGCCGCGUGUAUGAAGAAGGCCUUCGGGUUGUAAAGUACUUUCAGCGGGGAGGAAGGUGUUGUGGUUAAUAACCACAGCAAUUGACGUUACCCGCAGAAGA